UAAUACGGAGGAUGCAAGCGUUAUCCGGAAUAAUUGGGCGUAAAGCGUCCGUAGGUGGCUGUUCAAGUCUGCCGUUAAAGACCGGGGCUUAACCCUGGAAAGGCGGUGGAAACUGAGCGGCUAGAGUGCAGUAGGGGUAGAGGGAAUUCCCAGUGUAGCGGUGAAAUGCGUAGAGAUUGGGAGGAACACCGGUGGCGAAAGCGCUCUGCUGGACUGCAACUGACACUGAGGGACGAAAGCUAGGGGAGCGAAUGGGA
rnacentral:rRNA from 1 species